AAUUCAUCAACCCACCGGUUUGGGGCAACCUGAGCGCGGAGGUUGGAUAUGGGUCCUGUUUGCGCCUGGCGCAAUGGCCUGAAAUGGAAUGUCAUGGAAUCAUUGGACGCCCGUCCGGUUUCAAGCGCAUGAAAGAGAUUUUCUCUGAAGUACGUCUUGAGGUGCCGUUCUUGGGAUCAGAGCCUCUGGUGCUGUAGACUCAACUAUCAUCCAGCGGGGGUCCUCAACGGGAUCCCCCUGAAC
rnacentral:misc_RNA from 1 species